UACGGAGGAUCCAAGCGUUAUCCGGAAUCAUUGGGUUUAAAGGGUCCGUAGGCGGGCCUGUAAGUCAGUGGUGAAAUCCGGCGGCUUAACCGUCGAACUGCCAUUGAUACUGCAGGCCUUGAAUUAUUGGGAAGUAACUAGAAUAUGUAGUGUAGCGGUGAAAUGCUUAGAUGAUUACAUGGAAUACCGAUUGCGAAGGCAGGUUACUAUCAAUACAUUGACGCUGAUGGACGAAAGCGUGGGGAGCGAACAGG
rnacentral:rRNA from 1 species